rnacentral:rRNA from 1 species
UGAGUAAUACAUCGGAACGUGUCUUCUAGUGGGGGAUAACUGCCCGAAAGGGCAGCUAAUACCGCAUGAGACCUGAGGGUGAAAGCGGGGGAUCGCAAGACCUCGCGCUGGAAGAGCGGCCGAUGUCCGAUUAGCUAGUUGGUGAGGUAAAGGCUCACCAAGGCGACGAUCGGUAGCUGGUCUGAGAGGACGACCAGCCACACUGGGACCGAGGCACGGCCCAG